AGCGAACGCUGGCGGCAGGCUUAACACAUGCAAGUCGAGCGGACCUUUCGGGGUCAGCGGCGGACGGGUGAGUAACGCGUGGGAACGUGCCUUCCGGUUCGGAAUAACCCUGGGAAACUAGGGCUAAUACCGGAUACGCCCUUAUGGGAAAAGGUUUACUGCCGGAAGAUCGGCCCGCGUCUGAUUAGCUAGUUGGUGGGGUAACGGCCUACCAAGGCGACGAUCAGUAGCUGGUCUGAGAGGAUGAUCAGCCACACUGGGACUGAGACACGGCCCAGACUCCUACGGGAGGCAGCAGUGGGGAAUAUUGGACAAUGGGCGCAAGCCUGAUCCAGCCAUGCCGCGUGAGUGAUGAAGGCCUUAGGGUUGUAAAGCUCUUUUAUCCGGGACGAUAAUGACGGUACCGGAGGAAUAAGCCCCGGCUAACUUCGUG
rnacentral:rRNA from 1 species